CAUGCAAGCCAAUGAGAGAAGAGCCAAUGAGACAGGCAACCUGGAAAAGGGGAGGAGCUGCUCCAGGAGCUUCCAUGUGGUCUUUGUUGCUAUAGAAACCAUUUCUUUUGUCUGCAUGUGAAGCUGCUUUAUUUAUAAUCCGGCUCUCAGCUCCAGGAAAUAGAUGUUCGCUCCCAUUCUGGGCACUCAGACGUUGGCAAGGUCUCCUGAAUCUACUAUGUCUGAAAAGAAUAUUGAAAGGUUUAUAUCUUGAAUUUCACAGUGAUCUACAAACAGAAGGGUGGGUUAGUGCUGAAGAUCAGAGGAGCCAAGGAGACAAAGGGCCAGGACCAUCAACAUCCAGCACAUUCGAAUGCUACUUUUAAUGCUUAAUUUAGAAAGUGACAUAAGAGUCAGCAGUUCCAGUCCAGCCCAAGUCAGCAAGGCAGGAAAUUGUUACCA